rnacentral:lncRNA from 1 species
UUCGGGAAGAAUGGGAUCGACAACUUAAUUCGGACGAUUACCCUACUCGUAAGGAACUUUAUAAAUUUUUAAAGGAAAUAGACCACCGAUAUAGUGCUUCAGAGAAGCUAACGACGGAUAUUAAGGACGAACCCCGCGAAAAACGUAAACAUAUCCAAACGAACGCAUUACAAUCGCGAAAACGGCAGGACACUUAUCUUACGCAUUCGGCCCCCAUUAGUACAUCGCACACCUGCAUCCUUUGCGAACGAGUCGAACACCCGUUGUACCGCUGUCCUAAAUAUAACGACAUGACGAUAACCAACAAAUGGGAGUGGCAAACCAUUUCCAAUGAUACUUAAAGUGAGACGACAGCGGAAUUUCCUGGAUGCACACUCUACAACCGAUAAGGAGACUCGAAUCGAAACCGUAAAAACCAUACGA